UGGGGAAUUUUGCGCAAUGGGCGAAAGCCUGACGCAGCAACGCCGCGUGAGUGAUGAAGGCUUUCGGGUCGUAAAGCUCUGUCAAGGGGAAAGAAGUGUAUUAUGGUUAAUACCCAUGAUGCUUGACGGUACCCCUAAAGGAAGCACCGGCUAACUCCGUGCCAGCAGCCGCGGUAAUACGGGGGGUGCAAGCGUUGUUCGGAAUUAUUGGGCGUAAAGCGCGUGUAGGCGGUUUGUUAAGUCUGAGGUGAAAGCCCCGGGCUCAACCUGGGAAGUGCAUUGGAAACUGGCAGACUUGAAGACGGGAGAGGGUAGUGGAAGUCCUGGUGUAGGAGUGAAAUCCGUAGAUAUCAGGAGGAACACCGGUGGCGAAGGCGACUGCCUGGACCGAUAUUGACGCUGAGACGCGAAAGCGUGGGUAGCAAACA
rnacentral:rRNA from 1 species